GAGGGUUGGAGAAAGGAGAUCCAUCCCUUGCCAUCAAAGUGCUUCUUGCUGGCUGGAGCCCCCAUAUGUGCUCCCCCACGAUGAGAAGCUCAGGACUGAGGAAGAGGGGUGUUUGCGGAGCCCCAAGCAGGCCAGGUGGGAUGGACCAGGUCAGAGAAGCAGUUCUGCAAGCAGGUUACAAGAGAGACGGAGGUCCUAGGGUGACCAGAGGAACAAGAGUCCCAAGCCCGGCUGGCUUGAGGUUACAGACUCCAGAGCCCUAGCCAGAGGAGGCCCAUCUGCAUCUCUCUGACCUUAUCAAUGGGAGUUCUUUGACUGUCCUUCAAAGCUGCAGUAGAGGCUCUGGCUCAAGCUACCUCGAAGCAGACGGCUGCCCCCCACUGGCCACCUUGGGAAUCACAGCCAGGCUUCCAGCAACGUAAACUGAGCGUGAGCAUCCAUCGGCCUGGAGAGAGGAACAGGAGAAGGCCGCCAGAUGACGGCUUUUAUAAGCCCUUAAGCCUCUAAGGUUCUUACAUUCAGAGUAGGGGGAAGGGUUCUCAGCCUUUCCGAACUGCUGGCUCCUGACUUUAGAUCCCUGAUCCAUGAGAGAACCCCUCGCCUCCGAAAUACAAAGAUUUUCAGCUUCCAGGACAACUCUGCAGGGAAAUUUGCCCACCAGGCUCUGAGCGCCACAAGGCCAGGGACAGUCCAGGUGGCAGACCCAAGGUCCGGCUGGGGUCAGGUUUCUACAUGAAUUUUUAAUGCUUCCAGCCAGACCUGUCAGAUGUUCCGAAACCCGAGCCUCUCCUUUCAGUUCGGGACAUGCUGCCCUUCCUCAGCCCCAUUGCCCCUGGGGUGGGGGUGGGGGACAGGGAGGACAGGCCUGGACGGCUACCAGUGGCCUCUGGAGAAAUGAUUCUGGGGCAGUGGAAGGUGAAUGACCUAGUUAUUCUCCCACUUCCUGUGUGACCUUCAGCAAGUUACUUAACCUCUCUGAA